CUGGCAACCCGCCGUCAUGCGUCACAUUUCCGUUACUAUUUGUGGUGGAGAGAAGUCUUCCUCAACGGACCUGUGAGGGAUCUCUGCUCCAUCCUGACUGUUCGUGAGGAAAAAAUAUCUGGGUGACACUCUGUGUCUCCAGGGAUCUCUGCUCCAUCCUGACUGUUCGUGGGGAAAAAGUGAGUUUUAAUGAGCCUCAAAGUCUCCCUGCCUCACCAGAGUCUAGAGAAGUUUGACCAACAAAAUCAGAGUCACUUCAAUCCUAAAACUCCUCGGGAUUGGUUUUUAAUGCUGAAUGUUGAACAUUUGCUCUGAAUUUCCAUGUUUGUCCUUUAUAUUUUCUCACUGAGAACUGGACGAGGAUGAAGUCAGCUUCUCAUUUGUAGCUUCCCAUUCAGCAUUUAGGGGAAAAGUUAAGGGAAAAAAAAAAUCGCAUUUGGAGAGGUUAUUUAUUCGUUCUCUGGACUACAUAUUAACGUAAAGCCACGUUUAACAUUUUAAUUGAGACAAAAAUGUUGCCAACCAACCAAUAUUAAAUAUCUACAGCCUUUAUUACAUUUGUGAAAAUGAAAAAAAACCCAAAAACCUUAUUUAACAGUAAUCUACAUAACUAAUAUAUUGAAGGAGAUCCACGUUGAAAACCACUGGACCGAGACGUCUCAAAUCUGGACUAGAUUAUUCUAUAGAUUUUAAACUUACAUUAAAACACUGUUUCUGAUUUGUGAAACCUGUUUUGGAUUUGUGAAACUUGUAAAAGUGCAUGUUUGACUGUUUUCCACACCUGGACUGCAUGAAACCAGGUCCUCAUCGGAAACCACUUUUCUCAUUUUCAUAAAUAAAAGAAGAAAAAAACUAUGAAAAGCAAAGUAACUUAAUGAAUGCUUUAUUAAUGCUGAGUUGGAGUUAAUAGGUCAAAGAAUCUGGGAGUUAAUUUGCUAAAAUACUGUGUUUUUUUUUUCAUUAAUUCAUUGUUUACUUAUUUCAUUCUUUGAAAAAAAAUGAAAAGGAGCAGAAAGAAGUAAAACUUAUCGUGUCUGCCCCUACCAACACAAAAUAAUUGACAAAACAAUAGUUUACAUCAAGAGUUGAUUGAUUUUUCAUCAAGAUGUUAAUAUAAAUUAUUGAAAAUAUUACAGCUAAAACAAUGAGUUAUGUCUGAACCAGCCUUUGUAGUAAUCUGAUCCACAAAUGAUUUGGAGACAAUAGGUCAAAUCAUUUGGGAGUUAUUCAGCUCAAACACUGUAUUUUUCUAAUACAAUAUUAAUCAAAAUUAUGAGGAGUAUUAAAAUCAAAUACAAAGAUGUGUGUCUGAAGCAUAUUUGAAGAUGACACACAAAUGUUACGACACAGAUUUCACAAUCUAAUAUCAACACAGAACAAUUCAAAUUAAGACUGAAUGACUUUGACUCCUUGGUUCUUCACUUAAAGUUCUACACAACAGGUGAGUCGUGUGUGUGUGUGCGUGCGUGCGUGCGUGUGUUAAACAGGUUAGGUCUGAUCCUUGUUGCU